rnacentral:rRNA from 1 species
UACGGAGGGUGCAAGCGUUGCUCGGAAUUAUUGGGCGUAAAGCGCACGCAGGCGGCGUGGUAAGUCAGUUGUGAAACUCCCGGGCUUAACUUGGGAACUGCAGCUGAUACUGCCAUGCUUGAGUACGGAAGAGGGGGAGUGGAAUUCCCAGUGUAGAGGUGAAAUUCGUAGAUAUCUGGAGGAACACCGGUGGCGAAGGCGGCAUCCUGGACCGGCAUUGACGCUGAGGCGCGAAAAGCUAGGGGGAGCAAAACGGGG